UUCGCAAUGCCCGAAAGGGUGACGAAGCGACGCCGCGUGUGGGAAGAAGGCCUUCGGGUUGUAAACCACUGUCGGGAGUUAAGAAAUGCAAGGGUGUUAACAGCGUCCUUGCUUGACUAAGGCUCCGGAGGAAGCCACGGCUAACUCUGUGCCAGCAGCCGCGGUAAUACAGAGGCGGCAAGCGUUGUUCGGAAUUAUUGGGCGUAAAGAGCACGUAGGCGGCCGUGUAAGUCGGUUGUGAAAGCCUUCCGCUCAACGGAAGGACGGCAUCCGAUACUGCAUGGCUCGAGUGCGGGAGGGGAGAGUGGAACUUCUGGUGGAGCGGUGAAAUGCGUAGAUAUCAGAAGGAACACCGGCGGCGAAGGCGACUCUCUGGCCCGUAACUGACGCUGAGUGUGCGAAAGCUAGGGGAGCAAACGGGAUUAGAUACCCCGGUAGUCCUAGCCGUAAACGAUGGGCACUAAGUAGAGGGGUUUU
rnacentral:rRNA from 1 species